rnacentral:rRNA from 1 species
UAAGACGAAGGUGGCAAGCGUUGUUCGGAAUCACUGGGCUUAAAGCGCAUGCAGGCGGCCUGCCAAGCGUCUUGUGAAAGCCCUCGGCUCAACCGAGGAAUUGCUUGGCGAACUGGUAGGCUUGAGGCAGGUAGAGGCGUGUGGAACUCUUGGUGGAGCGGUGGAAUGCGUAGAUAUCAAGAGGAACGCCGGAGGCGAAAGCGAUACGCUGGGCCUGUAUGGGGUUCCAAUUUCGAUUUAUCGCGAUUGGGACCUCUCCUGACGCUGAGAUGCGAAAGCCAGGGUAGCAAACGGGAUUAGAUACCCCGGUAGUCCUGGCCCUAAACGAUGUCAACUAGGUUAGAGGCUCUCUGACGGGUUUCUGGCCGAAACAAAAGCGUUAAGUUGACCGCCUGGGGAGUACGGUCGCAAGGCUA